CACUGUUAAUCGCAUUCCUGAAAAUCCUCACUGCAGUGGUAGAGGGAGAUCAAGAACACAGUCUAGGGCUGGAGGAUCAAAAGCCAAGAGCAGAUAAAGUUGACACCAUCUGGGCCUCACCAUUCUCCAUCCUGAAGAAAACAGACAUCUGGUCCCAAGCCCACAAAGAAGGAGCUGAACUGCAAGGACAAGAGCAUCAUGAAC
rnacentral:lncRNA from 1 species